GCGCCCCCGCCCCGCCUCCCCGCGCCCCGGGGUCUCGAGUCCCCGCCGCCGCCCCGGGCUUCGGGGCGCAGGGCGGCCUGGAGGCCGAGAUAAUAAACAGCCGCCAGGACAACAGUCGAGAAUUUAAAGAAGUCCAUUGAAGUUCCCCAUUUUGCAGUGUGGUCUUAAAGUAUUUCUUAACCCGACUACUAGGUUAACCUAACCUACCAGGUAAGUUUUAGUGAAUUUCAGUUGUCAAAGCACUAUCCGUUCAAUUAUAAGAAACAGGCAUUUUCAUGUAUAGCCCAGGUUCAGUCUCAAGAGUUUUCUUACCUCGAAGUUAUAACAAAACAUCCAGGUUUACUACUUAAAAAAAAAAAAAAAAAACCUAGUAAGCUGGGCUUUCUCAGACAUUCACAACCAGUGUGAAAGUUUUCAUUAGAGCCUUUCCUGAACACAAGCCCUGACCUCAAGCCGUCCACUGUCCUGGGAUUUGCCCUGUGGAGGUCUGAGCUACAGAAAUGCACAUUGAUUGCACUUCAAAGUCAGAAAACCUAAUUUGGGGGCAGAGCCCUAGGCCUGGGUCGCCUUAACCUUUAAGGUAGGUAAUAUUUGCAGCAAGUGACACAGAAAUGAAAACACUAUCUCAGGUACAAGGGCCCCUAAGAUAGCUUCUAUUCUUCAUAGCCAAGUGGUGCUGUGCUGUUCUCUUUGCUACGUCCUACCCAGAACCAGGGUUUCACUGGGUUUCCCUUGAGGUACACAUUUCCUGGAUCAUUACCAUUCAUGAGAUAAAGGAUUCUCUUACACACACACACACGCACACACACACACACACUUUAAACGUCAGGUUCCUAAAGCUUCAUAACAAAAUGAAGCUAAAAGAUCAUAAGCCACCAGAUUCAGCUUAUAAAUUAUAAGUCACCAAAAACAUUUUUCAAAACAACUGAUUUUGACCUCAGAGAAACUAGGCAACAGUUACUGUUUGUUUCUCGUUUAGUAGACUGGAGUAUGUCGUGAAAAAUCAAGCUUAGUACCUCGGCCGCUUUCUCGGUGAAGAAACGGUUAGUGUUCUCUUGUUUUUGCUUUCACAGAGACAACGGACAGCGUGUAUACUUGGGAGUGGAGAAUUUCCGGGGUUUGCUCUCCGAGAGAUGCUUGUCAGCCACAACUGGCCAGAUGUGGCUUCGUGGAACAGGCAACGAAGACCUCACUUACAGAGCCACGUCUUGGUGCUGCCGUCGUGAAUGUGGCCGCGAGUGGCACAGCCCCCCCUCCCCCGUUUGCAAGGAAGAUGAGAAGUGGAGGGGCCGGGAACCCCACAGCGGAAAUAACAGGAUCCUCCCUGCGAUCCCUCACCGCCCUUCUUCGGUCCUGCUUCCCAGAGGAUCUGGGCUGUUAGGACUAACAAUUCUCGUAGGAAGUAGGUCUAGGCUCCGUACCACGUGGCGUGAGGACAUCCAGUUGGGCCCAUCUGGUGCUGUUUUCGGGAACACGCUGCCACACCCUGGUUGCUGCAGAAAACUUUUCAUCAGGUGGAAAUCCCCCGGGGGCCACCUGAUAGCACAUUUCUACGGAGGUCUGAUCUGAA